GAUGAACGCUGGCGGCGUGCCUAAUACAUGCAAGUCGAACGCACAGCGAAAGGUGCUUGCACCUUUCAAGUGAGUGGCGAACGGGUGAGUAACACGUGGACAACCUGCCUCAAGGCUGGGGAUAACAUUCGGAAACAGGAUGCUAAUACCGAAUAAAACUUAGUGUCGCAUGACACAAAGUUAAAAGGCGCUUUGGCGUCACCUUAAAGAUGGAUCCGCGGUGCA
rnacentral:rRNA from 1 species